rnacentral:rRNA from 1 species
UAGGGAAUCUUCCACAAUGGGCGAAAGCCUGAUGGAGCAACGCCGCGUGUGUGAUGAAGGGUUUCGGCUCGUAAAACACUGUUGUAAGAGAAGAAUGACAUUGAGAGUAACUGUUCAAUGUGUGACGGUAUCUUACCAGAGAGGAACGGCUAAAUACGUGCCAC